UUUAUAGCUUGCUAUGAUAAAAAUUAGUGGCAGACGGGUGAGUAAUGCAUAGGAAUCUACCUAGUAGUAUGGGAUAGCCACUAGAAAUGGUGGGUAAUACUGUAUAAUCCCUGCGGGGGAAAGAUUUAUCGCUAUUAGAUGAGCCUAUGUUAGAUUAGCUAGUUGGUAGGGUAAAGGCCUACCAAGGCAGUGAUCUAUAGCUGGUCUGAGAGGAUGAUCAGCCACACUGGAACUGAGAUACGGUCCAGACUCCUACGGGAGGCAGCAGUGGGGAAUAUUGGACAAUGGGCGCAAGCCUGAUCCAGCUAUGCCGCGUGAGUGAGGAAGGCCUUAGGGUUGUAAAACUCUUUCAGUGGGGAAGAUAAUGACGGUACCCACAGAAGAAGUCCCGGCAAACUCCGUGCCAGCAGCCGCGGUAAUACGGAGGGGGCAAGCGUUGUUCGGAAUUAUUGGGCGUAAAGGGCAUGUAGGCGGUUCGGUAAGUUAAAGGUGAAAUGCCAGGGCUUAACCCUGGAGCUGCUUUUAAUACUGCC
rnacentral:rRNA from 1 species